rnacentral:misc_RNA from 1 species
GAGAGAGAUUCUAUCUUCUUCAUCUUCAUUUUCUGGAUGGACAAAAUCUCAAUUUUGAUGCUGAUUUUGAUUUGAUUUUGAUUUUAAUUAAAUAAAUAAAAUAUCUUUGACUCAAAAUUAAAUGGACUGAUUCAAACAGAAAUUCAAUUUAAAAUCAUUUUUUAUCAAUUCGAGUUGACAAGUUUUGAGUCGGAUUCCGUUUUAAUUAUAUAUAUAAGAAAAAUAAAGAUACUUACCUGUGAAGUGUGUGGAACAGA